AUGAUGAUGGUGAUGAUCAUGAUCAUGAUGGAGGGAAGCUUCUGGGAGGAAGCCGAGAGGCCUCAAGGCCAUGGACAAGGCAUAUUAAAAUCAUUCAGCUGUGCAUCAAGCGCGAGCACUCCUCCCGAUGUCCACGUCGGACUAGCUGGAAGACAAAAAGAGCAAGAGGGAGGAAGUUGCCUCGAGCCCCACCCCUUCCUUAUCCUUUCCUCCAAAAUUUCACAUCGCACGCAACCUUCUCUCGUGACGCCGCCGCCGCCUCCUCUUCUCUCCCCCGAUUCUCCUCGCGACUGCUCCGAGCCCCUCCUCUUCCCUGUGUCGGCUGCUCGACGCGCCGCGCCACCGCUGCGGGAGAAGGUGAACACGAGGAGAUGCAGGGUGGGUGGCCUCGCCGGGAACCACCGGCUGGCCAAGGACCGUGUGGGCUGGCACUUCCCCGCGGCGCCCUCCUUCCCUGACUUGGCCGUCGCCACUGCCCCCUUCCCUCAUGUCGAGGCUGGGCGUGCACAGAGUGGGCGAGUCGAUCGCGACGGAACCAGAGUCACUCGAGGCCGGGGUGCGAGAUGA
rnacentral:rRNA from 1 species